AUUGAACGCUGGCGGUAGGCCUAACACAUGCAAGUCGAACGCGAAAGUCCUUCGGGAUGAGUAGAGUGGCGGACGGGUGAGUAACGCGUAGGAAUCUAUCCUGUAGUGGGGGAUAACGUUUCGAAAGGAACGCUAAUACCGCAUACGCCCCAAGGGGGAAAGCGGGGGAGCUUCUGACCACGUGCUAUAGGAGGAGCCUGCGUCGGAUUAGCUAGUUGGUGAGGUAAAGGCUCACCAAGGCGACGAUCCGUAGCUGGUCUGAGAGGAUGAUCAGCCACACCGGAACUGUGACACGGUCCGGACUCCUACGGGAGGCAGCAGUGGGGAAUAUUGCGCAAUGGGCGAAAGCCUGACGCAGCCAUACCGCGUGUGUGAAGAAGGCCUUCGGGUUGUAAAGCACUUUCAGUGGGGAGGAAAAGCUGGUGGCUAAUAUCCAUCGGCCGUGACGCUACCCACAGAAGAAGCACCGGCUAAUUCCGUGCCAGCCGCCGCAGUAACAC
rnacentral:rRNA from 1 species